rnacentral:rRNA from 1 species
CCCUUAGAUGUCCUGGGCCGCACGCGCGCUACACUGACGAGUUCAACGAGUUUCCCCUUGGCCGAGAGGCCUGGGCAAUCUUUUGAAUGCUCGUCGUGAUAGGGAUAGAUUAUUGCAAUUAUUAAUCUUGAACGAGGAAUUCCUAGUAAACGCAGAUCAUCAAUCUGCAUUGAUUACGUCCCUGCCCUUUGUACACACCGCCCGUCGCACCUACCGAUUGAAUGAUCCGGUGAAGCCUCGGGAUUGUGGCCAGUUUGCUUUGUUGCGAGUUGGUCGCGAGAACUUGUCUAAACCUUAUCAUUUAGAGGAAGGUGAAGUCGUAACA